ACCACUAGUGUAAAAUUAACAUGCAAUAGACAUGGCUUGUGACAUAAACAAUGUUAGAUGAAACGAGAGAGGGGACUUUAUCCAGACUCCGAGCUCUUUCCACGAUUAGCAAAGACCUGCCUAUCAAAGCCAUCAAUAACUCCACCGCCAGUCCGGCCAGUAACCUGAUCAAUAGCCACACUCCAGCGGCCGCUGCCAAAUCCAGCCCAGUCACUCCACCUUCCCACUGCCGAGCACUCCCUUCAUCCGAAUGAAGGACCAGGACGCGAUUAAACUCUUCAUUGGGCAAAUUCCGAGGAACCUCGAGGAAAAAGACCUGAAACCUUUAUUUGAGGAAUUUGGGAAAAUUUAUGAGCUCACAGUACUGAAAGACAGAUACACCGGAAUGCACAAAGGUUGCGCCUUCCUGACGUACUGUGCGAGGGAGUCUGCAUUGAAAGCACAGACUGCGUUACAUGAGCAGAAGACACUGCCUGGGAUGAAUCGGCCCAUCCAGGUGAAGCCAGCAGACAGUGAAGGUCGAGGAGAGGACCGGAAGCUCUUUGUGGGAAUGCUGGGGAAACAACAGACCGACGAGGAUGUCCGGAAAAUGUUCGAGGCUUUUGGGACCAUCGAGGAGUGCACGAUUCUGCGAGGGCCAGACGGCAUCAGUAAAGGUUGUGCCUUUGUGAAAUUCCAGACGCAUGCAGAAGCGCAGGCCGCAAUCGUUGCACUGCACGGGAGCCGCAUGUUACAGGGGGCGUCGUCGAGCCUGGUGGUGAAGUUCGCAGACACGGACAAAGAGCGCAGCCUACGGCGGAUGCAGCAGGUGGCGGGGCAGCUGGGGGUCUUCAGUCCCAUGGCCGUACAGUUCGGAGCCUACAGUGCGUACACGCAGGCGCUGAUGCAACACCAAGCAGCACUGAUGGCUGCUGCACAGACCGCCUACCUCAACCCCAUGGCCACAGCCGUCCAGCUGCAGCAGGUGGCAGCCGUCAACGCCAGCAGCCUGAUCGCCAGCUCACUGACAUCACCCUCAGGAAGCAGCACGCCCCCAGGAAUGCCGGCGGCCCAGGUUCCAGCCAUUGCUGCACCCCUUGCCCUCAACGGUUAUAGCCAGAUCGCUGGUCAGACCAACGGCCAGGCAGCCUCUGAAGCCAUCUACACCAACGGGGUCCAUUCCUACCCAGCACAAAGCCAAGCAACUGGCCCUCCAGCCUUGGACCCCCUACAGCAGGCAUAUGCAGGCAUGCAGCACUACACAGCAGCGUAUCCAGCCACCUAUGGAGUUGUCAGCCAAUCAUUUCCACAGCAGCCGGCUCCUGUAUCUCAGCAGCAGCGGGAGGGCCCCGAAGGCUGCAAUAUCUUCAUCUACCACCUGCCCCAGGAAUUCACCGACUUUGAGCUGCUGCAGAUGUUCCUGCCAUUUGGAAACGUCAUUUCUGCCAAGGUGUUCGUCGACCGGGCAACGAAUCAAAGUAAAUGUUUCGGUUUCGUGAGCUUCGAUCACCCGGCCAGUGCACAGACCUCCAUCCAAGCCAUGAACGGCUUCCAGAUCGGCAUGAAAAGGUUAAAAGUCCAGCUGAAGAGGCCGAAGGAUGCCAACCGACCGUACUAGACCUGCAGAUAACCCCAUCCGUAGAGACCCACACUCCCCCGAGGGAGGGGGGGGGAAGAAUCACUCCCCACUGCACCACACACAAACCAAACGUUCCUUUAAACACAAAAGCACGUUGGGGAUGAGAGCGACACACACUCAGCACCACCCUCUCUGCCGCUGCCCAGCAGGGCCCAUGGGUGUCGCUGGAGAGCCGUAGGUCCCGCCUUGAAGAAGCUGUGGUCUCUUCCCCCACCCCCUCCCCUCCCACGCCGCACUGACGGAGGUUCCUCGCUGGACAGCCAAGCAGCAAAAACAGCCUAUGGCAGGGCCCCUGGAAUUGUGGGGACCAGACCUCACCUCUCUCUUCCCCUCCCUCCCCCCAGAGCCAAUGGUGUGAACAUCCCUCGGGUGGGAUUCAGGGCUGAGGUCCAACCACUCGACACUACAGAGACUGAUUGGCCCAGCUCCCCUGUGCAGCCCUCGCCCAGAGGGGUGGGGGGACCUCUGUGAAUUUGUGUCUCUCUCCCCCUCCAGAGCACUCAGCACGUCUCCUGCCCCCUCCCUCGUUCCACCACUUCCCAGCAGCUGCUCACCACCCUCCCCAGCACCACCCGUCCUGCUUCACACACAAACUACCAAGAGUCAAUGAUGAGAAGUGCCAGGACCCCCCCCUCCCCCCGGGUACUCGGGGGCAGGACUCAGAACCAUUCCCUGAUCACCCACAUCAACCGCUGGCAGCUGUCGAGAACACAGAGCUCCCACAGGCUGGGGUGGUCUGGGACUUCCCCUUUCAUUCCAGGCCGCAGGGGACAGAGCAAGACACACACUGACCACGUGCCCAUCUGCAUUACAUCAAGCAACACAAAAACACACCAGUCAUGCACUUUCCAACCAGACAGGGGUGGCUGCACAGUGACAGAGUCCCCAGGCACACCGACAUUGGGCAAGUGUACAACAACUCACCUUAAACACCAAAGGAGCUUCAGCACCUGCUGGAGAAACAACCUGGCAGUUAGUCCUCCUGCUCCAUCUCUUUCUUACUUAUUUAAUAUUUAUUGUACAUAAUCAAAUGGAUUAAAUUAAUUCCAGCCUGAAUGGUUAAAUCUAACAAAUUCCAUGUGACCAGCUCAUGGCACCUGGAACUUGUGAGCAAGAGGCUUGUAU